UACGAAGGGGGCUAGCGUUGCUCGGAAUUACUGGGCGUAAAGGGAGCGUAGGCGGAUAUUUAAGUCGGGGGUGAAAGCCCAGGGCUCAACCCUGGAAUUGCCUUCGAUACUGGAUAUCUAGAGUAUGGGAGAGGUGUGUGGAACUCCGAGUGUAGAGGUGAAAUUCGUAGAUAUUCGGAAGAACACCAGUGGCGAAGGCGACACACUGGCCCGAUACUGACGCUGAGGCACGAAAGCGUGGGGAGCAAACAGGG
rnacentral:rRNA from 1 species